CAGUCGCCGCGGUAAUACGGAGGGGGCUAGCGUUGUUCGGAAUUACUGGGCGUAAAGGGAGCGUAGGCGGCGUGGUAAGUCAGAUGUGAAAUCCCGGGGCUCAACCCCGGAACUGCAUCCGAUACUGCCAUGCUUGAGGGUUGGAGAGAUAGCUGGAAUUCUUGGUGUAGCAGUGAAAUGCGUGGAUAUCAAGAGGAACACUCGUGGCGAAGGCGAGCUACUGGACAACAUCUGACGCUGAGGCUCGAAGGCCAGGGUAGCGAAAGGGAUUAGAUACCCCCGUAGUCCCUGUCUCUUAUAC
rnacentral:rRNA from 1 species